rnacentral:rRNA from 1 species
CAAUAGCGUAUAUUAAAGUUGUUGCAGUUAAAAAGCUCGUAGUUGGAUUUCUGGUGGGAGCGAUCGGUCUGGCGCUUAGCGCGAGUACUUGCAUCGUCUCCGGCCAUCCUUGGGGAGAGUCUGUCUGGCAUUAGGUUGUCGGGCAGAGGAUCCUCAUCGUUUACUGUGAAAAAAUUAGAGUGUUCAAAGCAGGCUUAUGCCGUUGAAUAUAUUAGCAUGGAAUAAUAAGAUAGGACUUUGGUACUAUUUUGUUGGUUUGCGCACCAAAGUAAUGAUUAAUAGGGACAGUUGGGGGUAUUCGUAUUCCGUUGUCAGAGGUGAAAUUCUUGGAGUUACGGAAGACGAACUACUGCGAAAGCAUUUACCAAGGAUGUUUUCAUUAA